rnacentral:tRNA from 1 species
GAGGGUAUGGCUCAGUGGUAGAACGCAUGCCUAGCAUUCAUGGGGAACUGGGUUCAACCCCCAGUACCCCUA